rnacentral:lncRNA from 1 species
UCUUUGAUUGUGGUUGUCUUUUAAGGAAGGUCUUGUUAUACCACUCAGGCUGGCUUCAAACUUCUGGGUUCAAGUGAACCUCCUGCCUCAGUGUCUCAAGUAGAUAAGAUUACAGGAAUAUAUCACUGUGUGACCAAUUAGGGGCAUACCAUAUUUUAAGGACUUCUGAAGUCAUUAUGCUUUGAAAUACUUCUCACACAUUUCUUUGGACUUAAAAAUCAUGGACAGACAGACCUCUCACAAACCAGCUAAAAUAUCUAAAUACGUUAUAUCACAUGGGUUGUGUAGAUAUUUGUUAAAUUAAAAUAGUCUCACCAGUAACACAGACUGAUUUUAUCAGUUUCCUUUGACACAUCUUACACUCUUCCCUUGGGUUAAAGGUAAAACCAAAAAAAAAAAAAAAAAAAAAAAAAAACAAAACAAAAAAACCCGCCCUUUUUGACAUCGAAGGAUAUUCAAGCCAGAGGGAUGCAGUGUUAUCCAAGGGAAAUCUGUACUUGCUGAGCAACAUGUAAAGGUGUCCUGUUAAGAGAGAGGGUUAUAUUUUUAUAGUGUCUUUAUGUGAACUCCUUGGUCUUGGGAAGGGCAACUGAAGGCAAGAUGUAUUUUCAUAGCCAAGACAUGGAGAGUUUCUAGGGUAUUAAUUUGAAUCUCAUGAUGCAUAUCUAUGAACAAAUUACAUAGUAGUGUUUAUGGCUGUUUCAAGUAUAAUAGCUUUGGUUUUGUGAAUAACAAUUUAAUUUAAAGGAAGCUUGAUGCUACAAUUGGUAGGUUUUUAAUUUUCCCAACUAGACCACAAGCAACUUUAAUGACUUGAUGCCUCCAAUCUAAUUUUAGAAUUAACAGUAAAUGCAAGUGCAUCAUUACCUUACCCUCCACCAGGGGGAGCUUCGGUAUCAUAUGAUGCUUCUACCAGCAUUUCCUUACAAAGAGUCAUGGAGUUUACAACUUAAUUAGGCAAAAAAUAGACACAAAAUUUUGGGAAGGUAUGAAUACCAUUAACUUAAUGCACUGUAGCCACUUUAGUAUUUAUUUUUCUUAAUGUUUGGAGAAACAGUGGCUGCUAGCAUGUGACUGCCAUCUCCCCCCAGCUCUGAACUCACCUUGGUCUGCCAUCCUCAUCUGCCAUCAUCAGAGAAUUCCUUUUACUCCUCAAUAAGACCGUCUCCUUUUCCAAAGUUGUAAUGUACUUUUUUGUCUACUUGACUAAAACAAGUGAUUUGGAGUAAUUUUUCUCUCCGUAAGAAUCGUAAUAAAACAUUC